rnacentral:lncRNA from 1 species
AUCAAUAAGCCUCCGGGUUAAUUGCAGAAUUUCUUGCAGUUAAGUCCAGAACACCUGCUGUAAAAUAAGAGGGGUCCCAGGUGGCCAGGCAGGACAGGAGUGUUUGGUUAGAAAGUUUUGUCAGUCUGAGAUGCCUGUAGGGCUGGGCUGAGUACCCUGAGGAAAACCAGCACUGGGCCUUCAGGACUACAGAAAAUGUUACUCUUUAACUGCUCCCUGGUCUGAGAUGGCUUAGAGUGCCUUACCUCUUCUACCACACAGCUCUGCCAGAAGAUCUGAAGCACCUUGUAAACCUUACACCUUCCAGAGGUACAAGUGCUUAUUUCUCACAAUCACAGCUGAAGAGAUUCUUUAGUGGACACUGUGCAAAUAAAGUCCAUGCACCACAGACAUCCACAUCCUGCAGAUGUUGGUAUUCCUAUCAUACACAAUUUCUUCAGUUUUGUCAGCCAAGAAGUAGAAGUAGAAUUGCAUUUUCCUUGACACAUGAUGUGUAUAUCAUGAUCUCAAUAUUUUGGUUUCCCAUGGCCUUUUACAAUAAAGGUUCUAAAUUUGCUGCCAAGAUUUGGAAUAGUUGGAUGGAGCUAAUUUUUAUAAUUAUGUGGAAGUUUUUCAGAGUUUUUAGUACAGUGAAGACUGUGGACUAUUUCUCCUGGGCAACAUACUUUCCCUCAAUGUUCACCCAGACUGACAGACCAAAUUUUGUUCUCUCUUCCUUUGAAUUAUGGAAUCCUAGAAUCACAAAAUCAUAG